UACGUAGGGGGCAAGCGUUGUCCGGAAUCAUUGGGCGUAAAGAGCGUGUAGGCGGCCCGAUAAGUCCGCCGUGAAAGCCCAGGGCUCAACCCUGGGAUGCCGGUGGAUACUGUCGGGCUAGAAUCCGGAAGAGGCGAGUGGAAUUCCUGGUGGUAGCGGUGAAAUGCGCAGAUAUCAGGAGGAACACCGAUGGCGAAGGCGGGUCUCUGGACAGUUCCUGACACUGAGGCACGAAGGCCCAGGGGAGGCAAAACGGG
rnacentral:rRNA from 1 species